rnacentral:lncRNA from 1 species
CAUAUAUAAUGCAUCAAGUGUCUUGUUAGGUUUUUUAUCUUUGAGGGAUUUUUUUUUUCUCCCUCCCCCAUCUAGUCUGGAAUGACGUGAGAGAACCGCUCCCUAUGGAUGACGGCGUACCCUCUAACGAGAGUGGUGAUGUGAAUUAUCUGUUAGGGGUCACAUUUGGCUAAGUAUUGUCGUGGGUAUAGACUAUCUGAUAGAACCACUGUGGUUGGCACAACCGUGGUCAUAGAUUGUGUCAUAGUUUGGCAAGCCAAAAAUGUGUCAUGAGCAAAUUACCAAUAUAUAUCUGACCUUGUCAUUCCACAUGGGUAGUUGGAAAUCUGUAUCUGCCUUCAGUAGAUGGAAAUCGGAUCGGCUUCGCAAAGUAUG